CGUCUUUGAACGCGAUGUCCC
rnacentral:piRNA from 1 species